rnacentral:rRNA from 1 species
CCUACGGGAGGCAGCAGUGGGGAAUAUUGCACAAUGGGCGAAAGCCUGAUGCAGCGACGCCGCGUGAAGGAUGAAGUAUUUCGUUAUGUAAACUUCUAUCAGCAGGGAAGAAAAUGACGGUACCUGACUAAGAAGCCCCGGCUAACUACGUGCCAGCAGCCGCGGUAAUACGUAGGGGGCAAGCGUUAUCCGGAUUUACUGGGUGUAAAGGGAGCGUAGACGGCGGUGCAAGCCAGAAGUGAAAGGCCGGGGCUCAACCCCGGGACUGCAUUUGAAACUGUGUGGCUGGAGUGCAGGAGAGGUAAGUGGAAUUCCUAGUGUAGCGGUGAAAUGCGUAGAUAUUAGGAGGAACACCAGUGGCGAAGGCGGCUUGCUGGACGAUGACUGACGUUGAGGCUCGAAAGCGUGGGGAGCAAACAGGAUUAGAUACCCCUGUAGUC